rnacentral:tRNA from 1 species
GGGCCUGUAGCUCAGUCUGGUAGAGCAACGGACUCUUAAUCCGUCGGUCGCGCGUUCGAAUCGCGUCGGGCCCA